rnacentral:rRNA from 1 species
AUUGAACGCUGGCGGCAUGCCUUACACAUGCAAGUCGAACGGCAGCACGGGAGCAAUCCUGGUGGCGAGUGGCGAACGGGUGAGUAAUACAUCGGAACGUGCCCAGUAGUGGGGGAUAACCCGGCGAAAGCCGGACUAAUACCGCAUACGACCUACGGGUGAAAGCGGGGGAUCGCAAGACCUCGCGCUAUCGGAGCGGCCGAUGUCAGAUUAGCUAGUUGGUGGGGUAAAGGCCUACCAAGGCGACGAUCUGUAGCUGGUCUGAGAGGACGACCAGCCACACUGGGACUGAGACACGGCCCAGACUCCGACGGGAGGCAGCAGUGGGGAAUUUUGGACAAUGGGCGCAAGCCUGAUCCAGCCAUGCCGCGGGGGGGAAGAAGGCCUUCGGGUUGUAAACCGCUUUUGUCAGGGAAGAAACGCCCCGGGCUAAUACCACGGGGUAAUGACGGUACCGGAAGAAUAAGCACCGGCUAACUACGU